CUCAAAUGAAUUGACGGGUCCCCGCACAAGCAGCGGAGCGUGUGGUUUAAUUCGAUGCUACACGAAGAACCUUACCUGGGUUUGACAUAGAGGUAGUAGGGAAGCGAAAGCGGACGACCCUUCGGGGAGCCUCUACAGGUGUUGCAUGGCUGUCGUCAGCUCGUGUCGUGAGAUGUUCGGUUAAGUCCGCUAACGAGCGCAACCCUCGCUGUGUGUUACAAGUGUCACACGGUACUGCCGAUAGUUAAGUCGGAGGAAGGUGGGAUGACGUCAAGUCAGCAUGACCUUUAUAUCCAGGGCUACACACACGCUACAAUGGCCAGUACAAUGGGUUGCCAAGCCGCGAGGCGGAGCCAAUCCUAAAAAGCCGGUCUCAGUUCGGAUUGCAGGCUGCAAUUCGCCUGCAUGAAGUCGGAAUCGCUAGUAAUCGCAGGUCAGCAUACUGCGGUGAAUACGUUCCCGGGCCUU
rnacentral:rRNA from 1 species